rnacentral:lncRNA from 1 species
AUAGAGGAGCUCACCACGAUCUCGUCCAAGCGCUUGGUUGGGUCGAAGAGAGAGCAGAGAUGGCGUGCGAGGUGGCGGCUCGAUUUUGGAACUCGGCGAGAUCCAAAAACGUAGAUAGAUGUGGCUAGGGCUUCCCGAGGUGCAAUUGAUGGAAAGGAAAUACGCGGUUGGCUCCACAAUGCUUAAAUAGGACUCAGGGGGAUCAAAUCCCUGAGAAACCAAGGUUUGCUACUGGCUGGAUCAAGUCCGCCUCGUCCCCGACCGGUUGAGAAGAAGGCAGUCGGCUGUCAGGUGGGUCCCAGGCGACAGCGGUUCAGAGAGAGAAGGAGGUCAGCGCGUGAGGGGGAAAGAAAUUGGGUCGCACCCUGGGCUAAGGCGAGGGGGAGAGGGGGGAAAAUGCUAACUGGGCCACGAGAGGGGGCUGGGCCGGUUCUGCUGCUGCUGCUGUGCUGGCUGGCCUACUCGGCUGGGCCAAGAGCUGGGCCGGGGUGAAAGGAGAGAAGGGUUGGGGGAAAGAAGAGAGAACCCAGGCCUUCGGGCCAAAACCAGGGGUGGCUUUCUCCCUUUUCUUUUUUUUUUAUUUUUUUCCAAAGCCUUUUUCAAAAGGAUUUUGAGGACAAUUAACUACAAACCAAAAGCAAUCAACACAGAACAAAAUAUGUUUUAUCAUGAAUGCACACUCAAGUUUAAUAAUCUUAUGAUGAAUUUUAAUUUCAACAAAAAUUUGUUUAUUUACUAAAUUAAAUGCUCACAAAAAUACUUAAAUAAAUCCAAUUAAACCCUAUUAAUUCAAAAGAAAUUUUUGGGUGUUAUAAAUUCAUGUAGGGUAAGUGUCACAUAAGAUAAAUAUAUGAAUAUGAAUAAUAAGUGACAGAUGAUAAAUAAAAAUUCAUAGCCAU